rnacentral:lncRNA from 1 species
AAAGAUGCAAGAGCUGUUAGAAUUUUGGUCGACAAUGAUCAAGAACUCUAUCUUUCCCCAGGUUUUAUACCUUUCUUUUUUUCUUUUUCCCAAUUUUUUUUUCUUUCUCUAUGGCUUUAAUUUUUCUUCCUUCUUCUGUGUUCAUGAUGACUCUCAAGAUUAAGCAUUCCAUGAGUUGGAAUAAAAAGGUGAGUUUACAUUCAUUUAUGGAUUCUUCUAGUUCUCCCUUUAGUUUCUUGGUAAAUUAGAUGACCUACAAAAACUUUGCCUUCUUUUGUCCCUUAUCUUUAAUUAUGGUGUUUUCAAUUAUUUGCACAACUGAUUUCUUUCCUUUUCCAUAUUAGAUGUUUGGAAGGUUUUAUUUGUAGUUGCCCAUACGUGGAAUCACUCCAUCACAAUUCAAUUUAGAUGGACUUUGAUUUUUAUGAGAGUUGUUUGUAGCCUUUUGAUUAAAUAGCUGAUAAUUUAGUUUUGAUGCAUUUGGAUUUUUAUGAGAGUAAUUAUAAUAAUUUUGUGGUCGCAAUUUAGUUUAGAUGCAAUUUGACUUUUACGGGAGAUUUCAAUAGCUUUUUGAUUGAAUAUUUAUUUAUUUAUUUUAGAUGAUGAUAGUGAUCAAUAAUGAUGAAGAGUCUCUUAAGACAGACAGGAAACAAACUCUAAUAUUAUGAUUUAUGUUAUUUAUUUAUUUUGAAUGAUGAUAAUGAUGAAUGAUCCCUCCAAUUUUGAGUUAUGGUUUGCGUUAUUUAUUUAUUUAUUUUGAAUGAUGAUAGAGAUUGAUAAUGAUGGAUGAUCUGUCAAAAGAGGCCGAUGACAAGUUAGACAGUUCCAAUUUAUCCU